CUGCGUUGGUGAGUGUGGUGCGACACCCCAUAAGCGCCACACACGUACACGUACCGGUGGGACGGGUUUGUACGAGGCUGGGAGGAAAUCAUCACAGUAUACCCACUACAAUAGAGUAGACUACACCUCUGAUUAUAGGCCUGCCGCCUACAGUAGAUGCAAGCUACACUAGGUUCUGUUCAGUCAAUAUUGAAGAGGAUGAAUUCGGUUAACAAUCAUCAACCAGCCGGAUCGACCGGCAGAAAGGGGCGACGGGGCAAGUCACCAUGCUCGGGUCACGUGAUGAAAGCGAGGCUCAUCGAUUGGCUGCAGGGGAAUUCCAGAGGAAGUCUAUGUGUACCGGUUCAGCUAUCUCACUCCCCCACCCAUCCUCAUCAGCCUCCCACUCAUUCAAGGGUCAACAAUGCAGGGCAACAACCGGCUGCUCAGCAGGUAGCAGUCUGGCGUCUUGCUCAAGGACACCUAGUCAGCAGCAGCCAGGGGCGUAGCCACAUGGGGCCCAGG
ensembl:lncRNA